CCCUCUUUUUCCCGCUUUUUUCGGAAUUACUGGGCGUAAAGCGCGCGCAGGCGGAUCCUGUAAGUCUGGAGUGAAAUUUCACCGCUCAACGGUGAAGCUGCUUUAGAUACUGCGGAUCUGGAGACCGGUAGAGGCUGGUAGAAUUGCAGGUGUAGCGGUGGAAUGCGUAGAGAUCUGCAAGAAUACCCGUGGCGAAGGCGGCCAGCUGGGCCGGUUCUGACGCUGAGGCGCGAAAGCGUGGGGAGCAAGCAGGA
rnacentral:rRNA from 1 species